rnacentral:rRNA from 1 species
CAAUGGGCGCAAGCCUGAUGGAGCAACGCCGCGUGAGUGAAGAAGGGUUUCGGCUCGUAAAGCUCUGUUGUUGGAGAAGAACGUGCGUGAGAGUAACUGUUCNCGCAGUGACGGUAUCCAACCAGAAAGUCACGGCUAACUACGUGCCAGCAGCCGCGGUAAUACGUAGGUGGCAAGCGUUAUCCGGAUUUAUUGGG